AGGAUAAACGCUGGCGGCGUGCCUAACACAUGCAAGUCGAACGCGCUUGCUAUCCGCGAGGACGGUGAGCGAGUGGCGGACGGGUGAGGAACACGUGGGUGACCUACCUUUCAGUGAGGGAUACCGGCGAGAAAUUGCCGACAAGACCGCAUACGCUUCUCUUUUCAAGGGGAGAAGGAAAGCUUUUCGCAAGAGAGGCGCUGGGAGAUGGGCCUGCGGCCGAUUAGCUAGCUGGUGGGGUAAUGGCCUACCAGGGCGACGAUCGGUAGCUGGUCUGAGAGGACGAUCAGCCACACUGGGAUUGAGAACGGCCCAGACUCCUACGGGGGGCAGCAGUGAGGAAUUUUCGGCAAUGGGGGCAACCCUGACCGAGCAACGCCGCGUGCAGGACGACGGCCUUCGGGUUGUAAACUGCUUUUCUCGUGGGACGAGCAAGGACGGUACCAGAGGAAGAGCCCGGCUAACUACGUGCCAGCAGCCGCGGU
rnacentral:rRNA from 1 species